rnacentral:rRNA from 1 species
CUAUACAUGCAAGUCGAGGGAGAUUGUUGGAUUCGUCUGACAUGAAACCGGCGCACGGGUGCGUAACACGUAUGCAACCUACCUUUAACUGGGGUAUAGCUCAGAGAAAUCUGAAUUAAUCCCCCAUAAGACUACGACAUGGCAUCAUGAUGUAGUUAAAGCUCCGGCGGUUAAGGAUGGGCAUGCGGUACAUUAGCUAGUUGGUGAGGUAAUGGCUCACCAAGGCCACGAUGUAUAGGGGGUCUGAGAGGAUGAUCCCCCACACUGGUACUGAGACACGGACCAGACUCCUACGGGAGGCAGCAGUAGGGAAUAUUGGUCAAUGGACGCAAGUCUGAACCAGCCAUGCCGCGUGAAGGAUGAAGGCCCUCUGGGUCGUAAACUUCUUUUAUUAGGGAAGAAAACAUGGGAUGCGUCCCAAACUGACGGUACUUAAUGAAUAAGGAUCGGCUAACUUCGUGCCAGCAGCCGCGGUAAGACGAAGGAUCCAAGCGUUGUCCGGAUUUACUGGGUUUAAAGGGUGCGUAGGCGGAAAAUUAAGUCAGUGGUGAAAGCCCGCAGCUCAACUGUGGAACUGCCAUUGAAACUGAUUUUCUUGAAUAUAGCUGAGGCAGAUGGAAUAUAACAUGUAGCGGUGAAAUGCUUAGAUAUGUUAUAGAACACCGAUUGCGAAGGCAGUCUGCUAAACUAUUAUUGACGCUGAGGCACGAAAGCGUGGGGAGCGAACAGGAUUAGAUACCCUGGUAGUCCACGCCCUAAACGUUGAUUACUCGCUGUUGGCGAUAUACUGUCAGUGGCUAAGCGAAAGCGUUAAGUAAUCCACCUGGGAAGUACGACCGCAAGGUUGAAACUCAAAGGAAUUGACGGGGGCCCGCACAAGCGGAGGAGCAUGUGGUUUAAUUCGAUGAUACGCGAGAAACCUUACCUGGGCUUAAAUGU